rnacentral:rRNA from 1 species
AGAGUUUGAUCCUGGCUCAGAUUGAACGCUGGCGGCAUGCCUUACACAUGCAAGUCGAACGGCAGCACGGGUGCUUGCACCUGGUGGCGAGUGGCGAACGGGUGAGUAAUACAUCGGAACAUGUCCUGUAGUGGGGGAUAGCCCGGCGAAAGCCGGAUUAAUACCGCAUACGAUCCACGGAUGAAAGCGGGGGACCUUCGGGCCUCGCGCUAUAGGGUUGGCCGAUGGCUGAUUAGCUAGUUGGUGGGGUAAAGGCCUACCAAGGCGACGAUCAGUAGCUGGUCUGAGAGGACGACCAGCCACACUGGGACUGAGACACGGCCCAGACUCCUACGGGAGGCAGCAGUGGGGAAUUUUGGACAAUGGGCGAAAGCCUGAUCCAGCAAUGCCGCGUGUGUGAAGAAGGCCUUCGGGUUGUAAAGCACUUUUGUCCGGAAAGAAAUCCUUGGCUCUAAUACAGUCGGGGGAUGAGGGUACCGGAAGAAUAAGCACCGGCUAACUACGUGCCAGCAGCCGCGGUAAUACGUAGGGUGCGAGCGUUAAUCGGAAUUACUGGGCGUAAAGCGUGCGCAGGCGGUCUGUUAAGACAGAUGUGAAAUCCCCGGGCUCAACCUGGGAACUGCAUUUGCGACUGGCAGGCUAGAGUAUGGCAGAGGGGGGUAGAAUUCCACGUGUAGCAGUGAAAUGCGUAGAGAUGUGGAGGAAUACCGAUGGCGAAGGCAGCCCCCUGGGCCAAUACUGACGCUCAUGCACGAAAGCGUGGGGAGCAAACAGGAUUAGAUACCCUGGUAGUCCACGCCCUAAACGAUGUCAACUAGUUGUUGGGGAUUCAUUUCCUUAGUAACGUAGCUAACGCGUGAAGUUGACCGCCUGGGGAGUACGGUCGCAGGAUUAAAACUCAAAGGAAUUGACGGGGACCCGCACAAGCGGUGGAUGAGGUGGAUUAAUUCGAUGCAACGCGAAAAACCUUACCUACCCUGGGACAUGGUCGGAAUCCUGAAGAGAUUCGGGAGUGCUCGAAAGAGAACCG